UCAGCCUCAGUCAGAAUACAAACAGUUUCUGCUCGGCUUCUCUGGGUUAAAGAAACUAGCAGAGUGACAUAAUCUGGGACGAAUUGUAACAGCUCAUGCUUAAACCCUGGACUUCUCUUUCCAUUUAGAAUGCCUUCAGAGGAAGCUCUUCAGAUAGGCUUCGGCGAUGCUGCCUGGGCCUCUUGAUGUGGCUAGAGCAGCACAGCCAGCCUGGAGUAUCAGUAAAGGCUGUCCCCUGGGAGUCCCCCUCCCAUCCCUUGCCAUCCCUCCCACCAGCGUGCCCUCAAAGACUGUGGAGUCAGUUGUGCUUUGAUAGUAGAGCUCUGCACCUUCUGGAGCUCUCCUGGGCAUUGCUAGUAAAUAUGCUCAGCAGCAUCAUGGCCUGUCCGUCUCUCACUUGUUCUCAACGGUUGAUGUGCCUCUCAUUGACUCAGUUUUUGAAAUGAAGAUAAAAACAAAACUGAAAAUACCCUGGAGCAGUCAUGCUGCCUCCUGCUGUUUCCAUUUGCUUCCUCUGAUAGUCACUGGUCUGGGGAGACUUCCCUUUCCUGCUCCAGGCAGUGGGCCUGUGCACAAUAGCCCCUGGCAUGUCGCCCAUCAGAUAGCAAGGCUGGUUUUUUGUAGGCCACAGUGUGGAUUGGAAAAAGUGAAAGUCUCUGGCUGGAAAUAAAAGCUCAGAAAACCUUUGCUCUUACCCCACCCCCACCCCAGGCCCUCCAGGGUCUGCGGCAGUGGCCUUGUAUACUAGAUUGAUCCCAACUGCCAAAGCCAGGGGGAAUCAAUCCCCUACUACUACUAAUAUCAAUAUCAAAUAUCACCAACAAGAAAGAGGGUUUUUUGUUUUUCUAAUUAAUCACUUAUAAGAGACUUUUAAGUUUUGUUCUAGGUAAAAUUAUAGUCUCUUCUUAUUCUAGAGCAUCUUGGGUUCAAAUGCUAGAAAAGAACCAUUGUAAUUUCUUUCAGAAAGAAGAGAUUUAAUAUAGAAUUCUGGAUUAUGGAACUAGUGAAAGUGAAAGAAGCAGACACACAGGAGGCAGGAGUCAUCUUAGCAUUUCUUUAGUCUUGCCUGUCCUGGAACUCACUCUGUAGACCAGGCUGACCUUGAACUGACAGAGAUCCACCUGCCUCUGCCUCCUGAGUGCAGGGAUUAAAGGUGUGCGCCAUCACUGCCUGGCAUCUUAGCUGAUUUUAUUGCUCUGUGAGUUGAGUUCACGGCAGAAUAUCCCUAAAUUUAUACUCAGAGCAGCUUUAGUUUCUAUAGAGCUUUAAAAUACCUAGAUAAAUUGUCUCCUGCAGGCUGCUGAGAUCAUUUCAAUACCAUGGCUCAGGUACUGACUUACUUCAGAACUGGUAGCUUUCACUCUGUGAUGGAGUGGUUGAGACAGGAAGUACACAAAAUUCUUUGCCUAUUUUCAAUACAAUAUUAUAGCUUUAUGUCAGCCCUCUAUGUCCUUGGGUUGAUGCUAUUGGGCUUCUGGAGUUGCAAGGAUAGUUUAUUGAAUAUACACUCUAGGGGAUAUAGCUUAGACCUCAGAAGCUGAAAGCUACUACCUCUAACAUUUCUUAGGGCCAGCUUAUAAAGGCUAACACUGCAAAAUCCACAGUGAGCUCAUACACGGGUGCAGGAAGUGCUCCCUGCUGGUCAGCCCGGACUCAAGCUAUUUUAGACAAAACCGUUCAUAUGAACUUUAUGACGGGCCCUAAGUGAAGCUCAUGGUUGUAGAAUUUCUUGGUGUGUAUGUUUAAUAAUCUAUUCCUGUCUGACUGAGAUUGGUCUUUGUGUGGUUUGUGGGGUGACUCCUGAGCCCCAACAGAUGCCUCCAAGAAUCAAUGGAAGUGUUCUCGGUGGUAAUUCAUCAAAUAUCUUCAGUAAAACCAAAAGAGCCAUGUUGUGGAGCAACUGACUUCGUGUGGAAGAAGGAAGAACGCAGUCUCUUGAACCUGAGAAUCAUUUAAUCUCUUUAGAAGCUGUCCUUUAAUCACUGAAUGUGAGACUCCUGUCAUCCCAGCACUCAGGAGAUGGAAGCAAGAGGACGUGUUCAAUUCUGGCCUACAGUAUAUGGCCCUAUCAAAAGCAAACGAAAAACAAAAGCUGUUUUUCCCUAGGCAUGGUGGUAGGAUGCCUUUAAUCCUAGGGCUCAAGAGACAGGAGCAGGUUUAUCUCUGAGUUCAAGGCCACCCUGGUCUUUCAGGCCAGCCAGAAUUAUAUAGUGAAACCCUGUCUCAAAACAGAACAACAGCAAAAACCCAUCGUUUUCCCAGCAGUUGCCUAUUGCACUUUUUUCCCAGUAUUUUUCUUCCUUCUGUUGCUCCUCCUUAGCCUCCCUGACUCAGAAAGUUUUGUUGAGGUCCAUUUGUUUAUGCUCAAUAUAUUUUCUCUGGGUUUUAAAAGCAUCUCAGCCAGACUCUUCAGCAGUCCUUACAGUAUAGAUGGACCUGCCGUCUAUCUGUCCUGCCGUCUAUCUGUCCUGCCUGGAGUGCAGGCUGAGUGAGCUAUGUACAAAAUUAAAACAGUACGUAUCCUAAAUUUUCCUUCUGAAACUGGUUUCUGUUAGAAAAGAGUGAAGUUGGGAUGGCUAGGCACACCUUCCAGAGUAGAAUGAGUCAAGUUCUUCCCCACACCUCUAGCUACUAAACUUGUUCUCUUAGAAUUAUAUCGUGAAACCCUGUCUCAAAACAGAACAACAGCAAAAAACCCAUCGUUUUCCCAGCACCUUUGCCUGUUGAGCCAUCUCAUUGACCUUGUUAGUAUUUUUCUUGAACUGUCUAAAGAUUGUUUUGUUCUCAAGAUGUUUCCACAGAACAUCUUGCCCGCAGAGUUCUACCCCAGAAAACUCAAUUUAAUAGCCGUGAAAUAAUUUGUUAAGGGAUGACACCUUGCCAUUUCUGGUGUCUGGGGAUUUCUGGGUUGUAGGAGAGAGAUAGAGGGUAUAAAAGAGAAAAGGAUUCUUAGGUUUCUGGCUUUCUUCAUGGUGGAAUAAAUAUGUUCCCCCAAACAGGAAUCUAGGGGAGCAACGUCGAAGGCCAGAAGACAACCUGGUAGCCUCAGUUCUCUCUUUAGACCCUGUAGGCUCUGAUGAUUGAACUCAUUGUUGUGAGGCUUGGUGCAAGCUCCUUGUACCUUUGCCGGUUGAGCCAUCUCAUUGGCCUUGUUAGUAUUUUUCUUGAACUGUCUAAAGAUUGUUUUGUUCUCGAGUAACAAAAUUACCUUGUAGGAUGCCUGCCAUUUAGCAGUUAAGCAGAGAGUGUUUGCCAAAGGUCUUUUGCAAAUUGUUGAAAAUCAAAUGAAGUAAUUACUAUGAAUGUCCAACAAAAAGGAAAUUUGUAAAUAAGGAUAGCAUAAGGUGACUCGCAGUAGUCAGGAAGUGUGGUAGUAAAUGGUAAGGAGAGGCAGCCUCUGUCAUUGCCCAGAAUGCCCUCACUGAGGCUGGUUCUGCCUUAGCCUCUGGAGUGCUGGGAUUUUAGGCAUCUGCAACCAGCCUAGCUCAGAGUGUUGUCUUAUCUGAUACAGG
rnacentral:lncRNA from 1 species